CGAAAGGCUAUGCGAAGGCACAUUGAUCUUGUAUACCUAUAGAUAUUUGUGUUCAAAACAUAGCCGAAAAUAACGUUCUCCUUUGACGGUCGUUGUCGAGCGAUUGAAUGCUCUUUCAGCAACAUAUUGUGAGAAGACAUCA